UACAGAGGGUGCGAGCGUUAAUCGGAAUUACUGGGCGUACAGCGCGCGCAGGCGCCUCGUAUGUGACCGGUGACAUCCUCGGGCUCAACCCGAGGCGGCCCGGUUAGACAGCGGAGCUGGAGGCAGGGAGAGGGAUGUGGAAUACCCGGUGGAGCGGUGAAAUGCGUAGAGAUCGGGUGGAACACCAGCGGCGAAGGCGGCAUCCUGGCCCUGACCUGACGCUGAGGCGCGAUAGCGUGGGGAGCAAACGGG
rnacentral:rRNA from 1 species